rnacentral:ribozyme from 1 species
UGCCCAGCAAUUCCUAUCCCUACCUCCUCGCGGUACUGGCCAGGGUACGAGUAACCUUGGGGAAGG